UACGGAGGGUGCGAGCGUUAUCCGGAUUCACUGGGUUUAAAGGGUGCGUAGGUGGGCAGGUAAGUCAGUGGCGAAAUCUCCGGGCUUAACCCGGAAACUGCCAUUGAUACUAUCAGUCUUGAAUACCGUGGAGGUAAGCGGAAUAUGUCAUGUAGCGGUGAAAUGCUUAGAUAUGACAUAGAGCACCAAUUGCGAAGGCAGCUUACUACCCGAAUAUUGACACUGAGGCACGAAAGCGUGGGGAUCAAACAGG
rnacentral:rRNA from 1 species